CUUUAUGGUCGAUGCUACUGCGUUGUCCCAAGAUGUGUUCGACAGUCUCCUCGUCGCCGCCACAGAGCUCGCAGUUUGGAUCUUCUCCAUAGAGCUCAAAUCUGCGUCUCUGGCCGCAAGUGGCAGCCGGAGGAACUACGGCUAGAAGAUUACGUGACUUCGCUCGGCUCUAAGCUGCAGCCUAACGCCCGCUAUUGUCAGCAGAGAGAGGGAGAGGAAGUGUCCUCCGAGACAGCACACGGGAACCCACACGGCACUCCGAAGGACGUCACUAGGAGGGGGACCCGGUGUGACCCUGAAGACUGGAAGUGCCACCCUGACCAGGCUGAAGCUGACAUGAUUAGCAAGCAUCGUAGCGUGAGUUGAGUGAAAUGACAGCAUAUAUUGACUACUGUGUGGAUGUCCGUGCUUCGUGGCAGUCAUACGAUAACAGUUGUCUUGACGUCACUUGUGUUGAUGGAAGGUUGCCCUAUUAUGUCAUUACGAACUAUUAUUUAUUUUUAUUCAUUUGGGGAGCUCGUGGGCCAUUACAGGGAGUAACUUUGUACAGCAUCCUUGUCUAAGGGCUAUACCAUAUUAAUUUGCUGUUGUGUUUCCUGUUGGAGGAUAAUGACUUAUUUGCAUUGCAUUCCAAAUCUCACUUUUUAAUUACUUCAAUAAUACUUAGUAGCUGGCAUUUGAUGUCAGCUUCUGCCACAUCAACCCAUGACCUUUGAUUGUGUGCCAAACACACCACUAAAUAAAAAUGGAUUCAUUAUUACGUUUCGUUCCUCCAUUGCAUAGGAUAUGGGAAUCCCAGCAAUUACAUUCUCCAACUGUAUUUUGUAAUACUCACAAUUUCAAAUUAUGUUAACAAUUUUAUAAACCUCCGAGUCACUCGUUAACUGAUCAAUUAUUUAAAUAAAUGUCAACUGUUAACCGGUUGCAAGUUUGUAAUUAAUGCACAGCCCCACACUGCAUUACUGUUUGUGUAUAAUAUAAGGAAAUGUUGAGUAAACAUACAGGUUAUUUAAAUAACUUUUAUGUCUGACCCAUUAUAUUCAGUGUUUUCUAGAUAAGUUUGAAGUUAUAUAAGAGAGUGCUCAUCUUAAAAUUAAGCCAUACCACUGGAUGUACACUAGUGUGUGACCUAUACAUAUGUUCCCAGCGAAAUGAAAGAAGUCAUUUAAGAAGGACUAACCACUUGCUUUGCU
rnacentral:misc_RNA from 1 species